CCUACGGGUGGCAGCAGUCGAGAAUCAUUCACAAUGGGGGAAACCCUGAUGGUGCGACGCCGCGUGGGGGAAUGAAGGUCUUCGGAUUGUAAACCCCUGUCAUGUGGGAGCAAAUUAAAAAGAUAGUACCACAAGAGGAAGAGACGGCUAACUCUGUGCCAGCAGCCGCGGUAAUACAGAGGUCUCAAGCGUUGUUAGGAAUCACUGGGCGUAAGGCGUGCGUAGGCUGUUUCGUAAGUCGUGUGUGAAAGGCGCGGGCUCAACCCGCGGACGGCACAUGAUACUGCGAGACUAGAGUAAUGGAGGGGGAACCGGAAUUCUCGGUGUAGCAGUGAAAUGCGUAGAUAUCGAGAGGAACACUCGUGGCGAAGGCGGGUUCCUGGACAUUAACUGACGCUGAGGCACGAAGGCCAGGGGAGCGAAAGGGAUUAGAUACCCUGGUAGUC
rnacentral:rRNA from 1 species